UAUUUGAGUCAUACACAAAGGACUGAGGUCUGUAUUACGGGAAUUCAAGCCUAUAGUUUGCCUUUCUUUGCAAAAUUAAUGUAGUAUAUUAUGUAGUAGAGAUAAAAGAUAUGGGUAGCAGAGACUGCUAUCGGUCAUUUAUCCUUGUUAUUAUAUGUGUACGGGGAAGUUUCAAUCAGCUACAUGUAUAUCCACCACUUCUCAGGAUUCCUCGUAGUUAUUGCACUUUUAGGAUCGAAGGAGAAUGUAUCAGGUGUAUGAAUGGAUACUAUGGCGUAAUUGUGAACAACCCUGCAGCUACCCUACCUAUGGAAAAAAAAUGUCAGUCGAACUGUUACUGAGGAGAAGAGCAGUGUGAUCAUAUCAAUGGAUGUAAAGAGUGUAUGAAGGGUUAUAAUGGCAGUAGCUGUGACCAACCGUGUAGCUACCCUACUUAUGGAAAGGAUUGUCUGUCAACGUGCAAUUGUGAGGAAGAGUACUGUAAUCAUACCACUGGAUGUAAAGGUAUGGCAUUAUCAAAGUGAUUGGUAUUUUUUUUUAAAUAUCAAUUGUAUUCCCUUGCAGUUGGUAACUAAACAAAAUGAUGUAUCUAUUCUUUUGUUAUUUAAUAACGAAUAUCAUGUUAAUGUUUGGAAUUCUUUUUGCGACAUCUUCUCAUGCAUUUAACAGGAUGAUAUUUAUAGGUGAAGAUCUUUAAUACAAUUUAAAACACUCUUUCUCAUUAAGUGUCCAUAUCUCUCCAAAUGAAAAUUGAUUUAUUGAACAGAGCCAUUAUAUUCUUUAAAAUAUCAUUUCUUUCGUUUUUAUUUCAUGAAGAUACAUGUACAUUUAUUUUUAGUGAAAUUCAAUACAGUGAAAUUCAUUUACGGCCAAUCCAUGCUUCAAGUAACCUUUCUUUACUCAUUGCAAGAAAAUAAAAACGAGUCAUUGACUGGCUAUUUGCCAUCAACGCGUUUUUACUCCAUCGAUGGUAUUAACGUAUUCACCAGUGCGAUCAGAAGGCUGUCGACCACUAGGAAAGCAAAGAUAUUACAUGGAUCUUCGAAGGUAGAAGGGGUUAUUAGAUCUAUAAGUGCCAAUGUAUACUUAUGUCUACACUGGUUUUCAUUUAAAUGUUAUGAAGUAUAUAACCGUAUUAUUCUCUUGAAUAAAACAAAAUGUCAGUAAUACAUAUGUUAUGUACACAAUUGGAUUGUCUACGAAUUGCGUUUAUAUGCGUCAUAUUGUUGCACAUUAUUGUUGAUCAAAAAAUGAAGCUAAAUUGUUACUGCUUAAUAACCUUUGAUUGAAUGUUAUUGGGUUUUUUAUUUUGUAGAGAAUUGACUGUUCAAAAGAUUUUCCUAUAUAAUUAUAUCAAAGACAUUCUUUUAUAGUGUCCAUUGUAGGAAUCGCAAAUUGUUUGGAGUUCUUAAAAAAUUAAUUGUUUUUCUUUACUUGUAGGAAAUAGCAUGGAAAUGGAUCACAAAUAAUGUUUGUCAUGAAAUUUUUAACCAAAUGAAGAAAAGAAGUACCAUUUUUAGUACCUGUUUUAUUCAUAUCUUCAUUUUCAUUUUCAUUAUUUAAUAAUUGACAUAAAUAAGAGUAAAAUACUGCUUAUAGUGUUAAAAGAAAGCAAACAUUUAAAAUAGAUAAUAAAAAAAGCAGCAUGAUAAAAGAAUCCCCGAAUCAUUACUAUAUAUUGUGUUUCUAACGUUUCGUGUAGCUUAAAUAAAAUCAGUCAUUUUUUCCGAAUCAAUUGAAGCAAUUUGUUUAAAGGAUAUUUCGGAAGCUUUCAUACAUUAUUGUUCCUUUUAUGAAUACCUGAUAUGGCGGUGCUUUGUUCGACUAAAAUGAGAACACAGGAUUGGAAUGUGAAUGGUCAUUUAACAAAUAAAACUUUUUUAAAGUGUUCUAAGGUAGUAACUUGUAUAUCAAAAGAGACUUUAUAUAUCAUGCGUUUAUUGUACAUAAUCGAUAUCCAUGAUUGCUACAAACACUUUUGAUACCUCAUCGCCACCGUUGAUAUAGACCUUUACUAGUUUCCUAAUCCAGACUCUUUGUUAUCUAUGGAGAAGCGAUGGCAAGAAGUAUAAGAGUAAGUCUUCUCUACAUUUUAUUCUGUUUUUAGUUUUCAUAGUUUAUUUAUUUAUUUAUUUUUAUUAUAAUUUCUUUGAGAUAGAUCACAACAGUUCGUUAUCUUCAUCUUUUUCUUUUGUUCCAAAAUAUCAUAAUUAAAGUUUUGUAGAGAAGCUACUGGCCCCUAUUGUUAAAAUCUGUGCUUCGAAUCUAUUUUUUGUGCGGAAUAAUGGUUUCAGCAACAAAAAAGGACCACAGUGUUUACUCGUGUUUUCUAUUAUGAUGUUUUUAAACGUUUAUUAUGAAAACUCUUUUGAGCAAAUACGGAAAUCCUUAACACUAGGAAUAGCAAACACUUUCAUUUAAUUAAAUACAAUUAAUAGCUUCCUUUAAAUAAAAAAUUAAAUAAUACUUCAUGUACAAGGAACAUGAGGAAAAACUGCUCUGUCUCUACGUAAGAGACUAAAUGUAGUUUAAGUUUUAAAAGGAACUUAAAAUUACAUUUGUUUGAAAGCAUUUUUAUCGUUUGUUGUAAUGCAUCAUAUUCUAGUUGUGUUUGUUUCCAAAAGCAAGUUUAUUUAUCUGCUAUUUGAUAAAAUGUUUAUGUUUGUUUGUUUGUAUGUUCUUUAACCUUAAUCUCGAGAAUUUUUUACUCAUAUGGAGACACAACAACUUGCAGGUGGAGAGCUACAAAUUCUGUCCUAUCCUCGGCACUCAUUGAUCAGGGAGGUGUCUUUUUCGCACCAGCACCUACUGCGACACGGGACCUCGGUUCACACGGUCUCAUCCGAAGGACCAGUCUCCACGUCCCACAGUGGAAUUCGAACCCUCGACGUAAGGAUCUACUCCUUACUUCUAUAUACUACAGCAGACGCUGCGCCACAAAGGCUACGAAUGUUUAUUUAAAAUCUUUCCCAUGAAAUGUUCUUUUGAUAUCAAACUUUUUUCGAGAAUUUCUACCUUUGACACAUAAUGUUUUCAAUUAGUUAAGCAGUCUUAUUGAUAUUACAGAGAAAUAUUAUUGUGUUGAUAUCUUUAUUUGCUGUAUGCAAUGCCUAGUACAUAAGCUAGUAACUAUGUAAUGGAAUAUCUAUACAGAUUUUUUUCUUUCUUGUGUCCAUUUUACAAAAGAACUUACGACUCAGACCAAAAAACUUCAGAUCAUUGUAAAAUUUUGCAAAAUUAAUAAUUCUCUUUGACAUUGUGUGUAAAAUUGUGUCAUAACAUUCCUUUUAAAAGGUUAAAAAUAAUUUUUGAUAUAUUGUUCAUUAAAAAGUUAUAUGAAAAAUUAAAUUUGGUCUUAAGUCGUUGGUCCUUUUGUAAAACGGGCACCUGACUCUUAUAACCUUGAACAUCUUGCAAAAUGGAAGACCAUGGCACUUUUACUUAUUAUUAGGUAUGUUGCUGACUGUCUACAGAAAUAUAUAGAUGACGAGGUACCACCCUGUAUGAGAUUGGUCUUUUCUAAAGAAAGUCAGAAACAAUCCCGUAAGUUUCAAAUUUUCUUGAUCAUAAUGCGAGUCACGAACACAAAAAAUCCCUUUAGCAAUAUUUAUCAAUAUGGAACACAUAAACACACAAAAUACCAAGCAAGAGAAAAAUAAAUACAAAAGGAAGGACAUAAAAUAAAUAAACAUUGCCUCUAUUCAAUACAGAUAACUAGUACGCAAUGACCGACAUUUUGAUUUACUCAGCGCUUUACUGAUACUCACACCUCUGUAUGCACAUUGUAAAGGACAUUUUUAAUGAUCAUCUCAGUUUGGUGUUAAUACUUAGUGGUGGUUUGGACCAAGGUAAAAGUAGAUUAACACAUAGUUUUUCCUUAAAUUAUUAAAUAAUUAUUACAUGUACGAUUAUUUCACCUUUUGAAUUAAUUAUUUUAUUACAUAUAAGUUGGAAUAGAGGGAAUUGCCUCAACGUUGUAGUAUAGAGUGGUGAUAAGCUAGCAAAAAGGAAUAUAAUACCGCUUUUUAGUGUAAAAUAAUUAUAUAAUUUUUAGACUUCCAGAUGAACAGGAAAUUAAAAUGUUUGUAUAAGGAUCUCGUAAUCAUUUUCAGUUAUUAUGGUUUUGGAUUUAGCUUUCACUAUUUAAAGUACAUACAGGGCAAUAUGUGUAAAGUAUUACAUGUAUGUAGAAGAUGUUAUUUAUUAUUGCGAUGUAUUUGUUUGGCUGAAGUUGUUUGUUUGAAAAACACACCUAAAAGUAAGUACUUAGUAAGUGGUUAUAAUGUGCCUAUAUGUGUAUAUAAUUUAUCAUUCUGUCAAAAUGACGACUGACUUUUUUCAUACUAAUCAUUAGUUCAUUAUUUAUACACUGAAUUGCUCUAUGUAAAUGCCAGUCGUAUAGCAUUUCCCCAAUUCAGAGCCGUUUAUUUUUUUUUUCACUUUUGCAACUGCAGAUUCAAUCAGCCAAUGACAUUUGGUUAUUAGAUCUUGACAAAAAAUACUCUAAUUUUAUUUCCAUAUCCAAGUGCAAUGAGCAUGGAAGUAGUGAUGAAUGUUUAAAACAUCGAAGGAAUCCAUGUUAUCUUGAUAUUUUUACCGCCAUUAUUGAACAUGCGGUCGGGCUAAUAGCAGGAAACAUACAAUAUUGCAAGUUUUACUAUACAAAGGAAAACAAUUUUAGUCUAGACAAUAUGUAAACGUCAUUACAUGUAUAUCUGUAAUGAGAAAUACAAGUCUAAUUUCUGGAUAACAAUUUUUAAAACUUGCAAUAAUAAGAAAUUAAUACAUGACUGUACAUUUAAUGAAA